GUGCCAGACUCCUACGGGAGGCAGCAGUGGGGGAUAUUGCACAAUGGGGGGAACCCUGAUGCAGCGACGCCGCGUGGGUGAAGGAGUAUUUCGGUAUGUAAAGCCCUAUCGGCAGGGAAGAAGCAAGACGGUACCUGACUAAGAAGCCCCGGCUAACUACGUGCCAGCAGCCGCGGUAAUACGUAGGGGGCAAGCGUUAUCCGGAUUUACUGGGUGUAAAGGGGGCGCAGACGGCAGCGCAAGCCAGGAGGGAAAGCCCGGGGCCCAACCCCGGGACUACUCUUGGAACUGCGCGGCUGGAGUGCAGGAGGGGCAGGCGGAAUUCCUGGUGUAGCGGUGAAAUGCGUAGAUAUCAGGAGGAACACCGGUGGCGAAGGCGGCCUGCUGGACCGCGACUGACGUUGAGGCUCGAGAGCGUGGGGAGCAAACAGGAUUAGAUACCCCAGUAC
rnacentral:rRNA from 1 species